GUUAAGUAUCUUGGCUAUUCUUAACUGUUAUGUCAGUGGAAGCGACCGUUUUUUGUUUGGUUUUUCUCAGUACAGCUCAUUGUUAUUGGUAUUUAGCAUUUGAAGAAUGUUAAGUAAGUGGAAGCUAAUACUAAUUAAUUACUAUUUAAUCAGUUAAUAUUUGAAAGGAAUAGCUAUACAUGCAAGAAAUCCAGAGCUAAAUCUGCAAAGAAUACAGUGCUUCACCUAACUUGAAGGCAUCCUGCUAGCUAGUAAGAAUUUUUGCUCAAAGUUUAGGCAUUUUGCAUUGCUUGAUGAAUGCAGAAGAGGAGCUGAGUCAGCUCAGAGUAAUAUAAUUUAAGUAAAUUAGUGCAAUCAGCAUUCAAACAUGGGGUCAUAUACAUAGGAAGAUAGAAUAUUAACCCAGAGACCAGUCAAAAAUCAACUCUCUUCAUACAUACCACAAAGAAUACUGUCUCAGUAUGUAGGACAAAAUGAUAGUAAGUACUUCUGUCUCUUCUGAAAUUUUCUGCUAAGUUCAGAAAAAAACGUGGAAGAUACCAUUGUCUGAUGACAAAAACAUUAAGGAAGAUGAUAAAAGGAAAAAGAACAACAGCAAAAUCCUUUACUUCAUAUGCUUUCUUAGGGGAGCACAGAUGUGCAAACUGGCAGAGAGGUCAGAUUGUUUUGACUAUUUCUGCAGUGAGUUGAGCUGUAAUGGCCUGGCAGAGUGAGGAAUCACUGCUAAAGCAGACGCAUAUCACAUAGAGAGGUACCAUUCUGCUGCUAUUUCAUGAGAGCAAAUAGUUGAAUGUUUGUGUGAACGUGGGGCUGGAGAGGCUCCCUGUUUACGACCAGCUACGGAUGUCUGUGGAACGUUGCUCUGGAGGAAUUCACAAUGAGAUUUCCAGCAGGAAACACAAAUGCUAAGCAGAUGUGUUUUCUUCCAGACUAAACCUUUUGACUCAGAUUGGCAGAAAAUCUUCACUUUAUCCACUUUAAGAUUUUUAAGACAAAAAUCACAAAACAAUGACUUCUCAGCCCUUUUAACAAAGACUGGAAGCUACUGAGAAGUUAGGUAGAUCUACGUAUCCCUGAGAGCACACAGACUGCUCAUUGAAUCUGCUCAAUCAUCUCAUUCUGCAUUUAACUUAAAAAAUGCAAAGCAAGGCAAAGAAAGAAACCCAGCCCCCAAAAGCAAGUAGCACUCCUGCUCAGAGGAUGUUCAAGGGAGUUGUUCCAACUUGAUCUUUCUCUCACAUACCCUUUAAGGGAGGAAAUACUUUUGGAGGAAGCAAACUGGAAAAGAUCACAAAGAUCCUGCCACAUAGAUUUCCUGGUGUUAUUCUGUAGAGGAAGAGGCAAAAGUUCUUUCCUCAAAUUCCUUUUCCCAUGUAAACAGUGGGAAGAAUAUUAUCUUUUGUUAAUUUUUUAUUUUGCUUAUUUGCUGUAAACUGCAAAACAUGCUAUAUAAAAAUGCCAUUUAUUAAUCAUGACUGUGUUGUGUUCUAUAACAAAAAUGAUCCCUUGGGACCAUAUUUGUUAUAUAUGCUGAAAUGUACUGUUAGCUAAGUGGCCUUAUCUAUAAUUCAGAAAAUCUUUGUGUGCUUUGGAAGACCGUUUGGCAAACUGUGCAAGGAAGUCAUUUAGUUAUCUGGCUGCAUUAAAGAUGAAAUCAAUUUAAGAUGAAUUAAUACUUCUAGAAAAGUGAUACGAAAAAAAACAACCUAAACUCUUGGCUUUGAAAGAAGUAAUUAGCCAGUACUACAAGAGCCUUGAUGUUUUGGUCAAAUUCGAGUACGUCACUGAGAUACUGAGCAAGCUCAAAACAGAACAGCUGAUUGCUUUGAAGAGCCAACACUUGAAAUUACUUAAAGCACUCUUCUACCAAAGAGACAGAAGACAGCUUUCAUAUUCUCGAGUCAUCCUACAAAGUCCUGCGUGAAAUAGACUACUGCAGCCUACAGGCAUCAUAGAAAUAUUUCAGUCAAGACCACAAGUUCCACUCUUGCCCCUAUGCUUAUGCUAAUGUGCACGAUCUCUUUGAUGAACAACAGCAAGGAGACUGGAUAGCUUGAGGUGUAAUUGAUGGGAUGCUGAAGGUCUGGCUGUUGUUUUGGUGGUUAUUUUUAUAGAUUAUAAAGGAACUGACCAUGCAGUGCUACCUCAACUUGUGGCUGAAUCUAACAGCUUCAUGGACUCAGCCCUCCAUUUAGCCCAUUUGGUCAAAUUAGGCUGGUGGUAACUGAAAGCUGUGACCAGCUGAUGGCUAUGUUGAAUGAUAGCUUGUGGAAAUCUCCUUAGUGGACUCAGACCAAAUUUUACUGACAGAAUCUCACUAUCUCCAAGCAAAUUCCUCCAAAAUAAAUGCUAACUCAAGGCUCAGGGGCAACCACAGGUUUAAAGACAAGGAGGGUGAACUUGUGUCUUCUCUAGAAGUAUUUUCUGUAAGCCAGCAAUGAAGUGAAAAAAAGGCACAUUUGUGUCAGCACCACCCAGGCUGUCAAUAAAGAACUCCUGCCCUCAGAACUAUCAAAUCAAAUUCAUAUGAAUUUCCCACUCUUCCAAAACCACUUUCCCACAGGGAAGAAGGGAUCACAAAAUUAAACAGCAUUCCCUUCUUCUCACAUCUUUGUAAUCUGCAAGCACUGUGCCUGUCACAGUGCUCCCAGGAGGUUUCCUUAACCAUAAUGUCUCAUCUCUGCAAACAGCUGUUUCCCUUUUGCACAAGAGUUCUUGGAGAUAUGCUUCACUUAUCAGAACUAUACCACUGAAAAGCUGGUAAAUAACCAAGUUCUGUUGGAAAGAUGAAAUUGCACUGCAGAUAGAUGGAUUUGCUUAACCUAUAAAAUAAUUCUGAGAUAGCUAUUGUUUUGGCAAAAUUCUAAAAUGUAACAAAGUUUGAUUGUUCUUGGCUUCUCCUAAUUUGCUUACUUUGGGGUAAUAGCUGGCCUUCAAUAUGCAUGUUAGUCUCGUUACUGUUAAGUUAAAUAUAUACACACAUAUCUAAGAGAGGUUUGACCAUUUACUGUCAGUGUUCCAAGGUUAGCUGAAGUCUGGACCUAUUACUUUCUCUGUGCUCCACUAAUUGAGACCAAGGCUUAUGCAAGACUUCCUUGGGGAUCACAGGGUCUGAGGUUUUUAUAGUCCACAAGGCUAAAAUUCAAAUAUGAACCACAGCUGUUUGGAUGGAAGUCCUGGACCUCAUCCUUUUGAACUAUAGUGACCUGCUCAGCCUUGCCAUCAUGUGAAACUCAGAAAUCCCUGCACAGAUGAUGACUGGGAUGUGAAAAUUGCCUGCCAAGCAGACCUGGGUAAAGUGAUUGGUUUACAGUGCUCUGGGAUUUGCAGGUGAAAGGACUGCUCUCUCACUCUCCUCUGCUACCCUCUUCCCCUCCAUUUCUGUACAUAUCAUUCUUUUAUAUAUAUAUAUAUAUGCAGAUUUGAUUCCACAUUCACCACCCAAACAGCUGAAUUGAUGUUCCUAUUGAAGAUGGUGAAGUUCCUCCCUUCUGCCAAGUACAGUUAUUUUUAUGAGUCCCCAGUAAGAGGUAAAGUAAGAGAAACAGGGUGUGGGAUAAACUAGUUAAUCUAUUUAAAUAGGGAUAGACCUCUAGCGCCCUAACACUUAAAUACUUUGUCUUCACUCGGCUGUGCUAUAUUUUAACUGGGGACUACAACCAGGACAAACAAGCGUGGCCUUUUCCUACUGUGGAUUGUCAUGCGAAAAUAUUUGUGAAGGGGUGGAGUAAACAUUUUUGGGGAUCACACUGCAAGAGGAGAUAUAUGGGAACUCACUGUGAUGCAAAAGGAAAUCAUGUGUUACUCCACAGAUGAUGUGAUUGGCAUUGUGAGCUCAGAUGCGUAAAGACUAUCGAGGCAAAAAAAUCAAGAUUGAAGCAGAAUGAAAUGCUCCUUUCUUCGGUAAGUCAGUGGGAGUCAUAAAUACUUCUGCAUCAGCUAGGAAAGCUACAAAAAACUAAAUCACAACUCUAUUUUCAUGCUGAUGCAUGCACUUUAAAGUAAUAUAUAUAAAAAUGCCUUCCUUUUGGCAUAACUGCAAUUACAUAAAUAUUUAGAUUUAUACUAAUAAGUAAUUUUGCAGAAGUUUAAAAUGAUAGGCUGCGUGAUAGCUAUUUAAGGGGAUGGGCAGCCCACCUUCCAGUGGCCACAGUGACUUCCAUCAAGUCGUAAUUGCAGGAGAGGGUGCUUCUGGAAAUUAAUGGUGAAUCUUAUAUUCCCUUGCAUUUAGAAUCCAAAUCUAUUAUUUCAUUACUACUGUUAAUUAUAUAACAAUCAUAUAAUAAUUAUAAAAAUAAUUAUAUAAUAACUAUGUCUGAAUAAAUAAUAAGCAUUUUCAAUAUUAAUGACUGCCUAGCAAGCAAGGCAAAGCAGAUCUUAAUCUGGUUUGAGUUUCUAUCCUUACACAUUCAUUUUACUCUUGCAAAGCAUAUUAAAUACUAUGGAAUGUAUAAAAAAGGCCACAAUUUCUUCUCUAUUGGUAUACUGAAAGUCUUUGUGUGUCCAAGGUAAUAGGAAUUCCCACAUUCGUGCUUACUGUAAAAUACAGCAAGCAAAAGCUAGAUAAAUUCUGUUUAAUAUGGAAAUAAUUUUGGCUGCAUCUUUGGCUUUGUAUGACAUGGAAACUGGUGAUUGUUUAUGCUUUGCUACUUUUUUUGGUCUGCAUUAAAAUCCCACAUGAGAAACAAAUUUUUCUCUAGGAACAAAAUGUUACUUUUUUGGGACUGAGUUCUAAUAAGUUGGGUAGUACGUCUGCUUCUUUUCAGCUGGGAAAUUGCAAUGCAUAUAAAAUCCAGAUGGAUAACACAUGAGGCUGGAAGCAGCCUUGGCCAAUCAGCCACGUCACUUGAUUAAAAGAAACCUAUAAUAAUUUAAGUAAAAAUAGUACCCUAACAAAGUAACAGAGCAACAAACUGGCUGCAGCAUGCGAUUUCAUCACAGUUCCAAUAUUGCUUUACUUUUGCUGGUUGGUCCUUUCAUAUCUUAUUGUAAAUUAACCUAUUUGCAUUAAGCGUGCAUGGAACUUGUGAUUAAAGCCCCAAAAUGUCAGUGAUGGAAGAUACAUGAUAAGCAGGAUGAGGGGGUAAAUCCAUCACCAGACUACAGAAGGCCACAAGGACCUAUUGCUCUUAGGGCAGUGGUGCACUUGAAGAACUCAGCUGAGAGUUUUGCCAUGAGGAAUCACCUACCCUGGCACGUGCCACACUAGUGCAGACCAGUACUUUUUGUAUGGAUUUUGUCUGUGACUGUCAGAAAGCAAGUAAGUGCAUCAAUGCAAUUACAAGGUCACUCUGCGGAAAAACUCCUGACUAUCCCGCGAGAUGCAGCAGAUUUGUGGGUGAGACUGUCUAAGGCAGCCUGUGAAGAAGUCACAGACAGGACUUGCAGAGGGAUGGAGCCACAUCUGGAAUCCCUGUGGGCAAUUGAAGGAAUGUUUAUUAUUCUUUGUUUAUUAUUUUGAGUGUGUACUCUCCCUCUUCCUUUCUUUGUCUCUCUUUGUUAUUUGUGUAAUAAAAUUCCUCUAGGCAUACAAAGUAAGUAAGUCAUCUGGAAUUGUGCAGUUCCCUCUGCCAGGAAGCUGGAAAAGCCUCUCGUGCAGAGACAAAAAUAUGGGCUCAUCUCAAACACUGAGAAAUUACAGAAAUAUUCACCAUUUGCCUUUGAGUUAUAUUUACAUAGGAAAGAACUGUGGCAAAUACGUGUGCUUCUUGCUGUUAAAAAAAAUUGGCUUUUAUCCUGCCCAAGGUGUUGUGUUUAUUUAAAGGUUGUUGAGAAAUAAUUUGUACGUUCUAAAAUAAAGCAUGCAAAAUACAUUAAAAGGGCCCAGUGACAAAGUUGUUUUUUUUUUUUUGCCAGUGGGUGUGGAGAAGGAAAAGGAAAUGAGUAAGUAGAGAGGAGCGUCUUUAUGGCCACAUGGCUAGUGAAAAUUUCUAUUUAUUCUUUGGGGAAAAAGCAAAGUAGCUGCAUAGUUGCUGGUUGGAUAGGUGCCGGGACUAUUUUUAUUGGCAGGCAGCUCUGAGUGGCUGAAAGGCGGUCAUUAACACUCUGACACAAAGUGCUGACAGGGCGAUUAUAAGAUUAACACCCUAUGUUAUAUUAACAGUGUCAAAACCUCCCCGUACCUGUCAGUGAGAAAUAAUGGCACGAAGGAAAACAUUAUAGACAUGCUGAGACUUUAGCAUUGAAAUACCAUGCAGCUAUUCACUUUUUGAAAUUGAUCUAAAUAUCUAGAUGACCUACUGAAGGCUCAUAAAAUAAUGUGAUUUAAAUGGCAGCUUCACCAAAUCAAAAAAUGAAUGCAAAAGUUAAGCCGCCCAGCUUACUUACUCUCUUGUUGACACUUUUAGCCCUGAUCUCCCUGGCAGUGGGUCUCUCACAACUGCUGCCUUUCAGUAGAGUUAUGGUUUGAGAUCUCAUAAAUUUAGGAUUUGACCUUAGGACUUUUGACAAAAACAGAGCUUUUCUGGAGAAUAUUAUUACUGGUCAAAAUUCAACCUCGGUCUUUCUCCAGGACUGCUAGUCAUCAUAGACUGGUUUUAUCAGUGAGAGCCUUUGGACCAUAAGGACCAAUCUGCAUUUAAAAUGUCUCUGCUCCACGUUCAUUAGAACUGGAAUAGCAAACCCUCUGGCAUAGCUGUCCUGGAGAAUAUCCAAAGAAUGGCAACGAAACCAGUGAAGUUUCUGGAUCACAAGUCUUAUGGAGAGCAACUGAGGGAAAUGAGAUUGGUCAUUCUGGAGAAGGUGAGGUUCGGGGAAGACCUUAUCACACUCUACAGCUGCCUAAAAGGAGGUUGUGGUGAGAUGAGGGCUCUUCUCCCAGGUUUCAGUGAUAGGAUGAGAGAUGAUGACCUUAAAUUGCACCAGGGGAGGUUCAAGUUGGAUAUUAGGGAAAAUUUCUUCUCAGGAGUGGUGAUGCACUGGCACAGGCUGCUCAGGGAGGCGGUAGAGUCACUGUCCCUGGAGGUGUUCAAGAAAAGGGUGGGUGUGACACUGAGGGACAUAAUCUAGAGCAGUCGUGGCCAUGGCUUGAUGGUUGGACUAGAUGAUCGUAGUGGUCUUUUCAACCUUGAUGAUUCUAUGAUAGCUUCAGCUAGACUGCCUUAUGCUGCCUUAAGUUCUGCCAGUUUUGAUUAAGAGGAUAAGCCAGGAGAAAAAAAGUUCUUCCUGUAAGACUAAAUCUGUACCUUCACUAGUAAAAAAUAUUGUUCAAGUGUUGCCAGGCAAAGCAUUAUUUCUGUAUUUUUAUUAUUAUAUUUUAUGUUGUAUAUGAUGAUAAUACAGUCUAUAUAUUUUUGUCUGUAAGACUGAUAAAUAAAAUGCAAAUUAAAUAUUCUUCUAAUACUUUGGUUUCUAACCAAAUAAAGACAUGGUCAAAUCACCCCACGUGCCAGGAAAUGCUUCUGAGUUGCAUAAGAAAGGUUUGAUAGUUUUAAGUAAGUGGGAUCUGG
ensembl:lncRNA